UACGAAGGGGGCUAGCGUUGCUCGGAAUUACUGGGCGUAAAGCGCACGUAGGCGGAUCGUUAAGUCGGGGGUGAAAUCCUGGAGCUCAACUCCAGAACUGCCUUCGAUACUGGCGAUCUCGAGUUCGGGAGAGGUGAGUGGAACUGCGAGUGUAGAGGUGAAAUUCGUAGAUAUUCGCAAGAACACCAGUGGCGAAGGCGGCGCACUGGCCCGAUACUGACGCUGAGGUGCGAAAGCGUGGGGAGCAAACAGG
rnacentral:rRNA from 1 species